rnacentral:rRNA from 1 species
GAUGAACGCUGGCGGCGUGCCUAAUACAUGCAAGUCGAGCGAACAGACGAGGAGCUUGCUCCUCUGAAGUUACCGACGGACGGGUAAGUAACAAGUAGAUAACCUACCUAUAAGACUGGGAUAAGUUAGAGAAACCGUAGUACAUACCGGAUAAUAUAUUGAACCGCAGGGUUCAAUAGAGAAAGAUGGUUUUGCGGUCACUUAUAGAUGGAUCCGCGCCGCAUUAGCUAGUUGGUAAGGUAACGGCUUGCCAAGGCAACGAUGCGUAGCCGACCGGAGAGGCUGAUCGGCCACCCUGGAGCGUAGACACGGUCCAUACGCCUACGGGACGCAGCAGUAGGGUAUCGUCCGCAAUGGUCGAAAGCCUUACGCAACGACGCCGCGUGAGUGAUGAAGGUCCUGGGUUAGUAAAGCUCUGUUAUGAGGGAAGAACAAAUGUGUGAGUAGCUAUAGACGUCUUGACGGUACCUACAGAAAAAGCCCCGGCUAACUACGUG